UACUCCUACGGGAGGCAGCAGUAGGGAAUCUUCCACAAUGGACGCAAGUCUGAUGGAGCAACGCCGCGUGAGUGAAGAAGGCUUUCGGGUCGUAAAACUCUGUUGUUGGAGAAGAAUGGUCGGCAGAGUAACUGUUGUCGGCGUGACGGUAUCCAACCAGAAAGCCACGGCUAACUACGUGCCAGCAGCCGCGGUAAUACGUAGGUGGCAAGCGUUAUCCGGAUUUAUUGGGCGUAAAGCGAGCGCAGGCGGUUUUUUAAGUCUGAUGUGAAAGCCCUCGGCUUAACCGAGGAAGUGCAUCGGAAACUGGGAAACUUGAGUGCAGAAGAGGACAGUGGAACUCCAUGUGUAGCGGUGAAAUGCGUAGAUAUAUGGAAGAACACCAGUGGCGAAGGCGGCUGUCUGGUCUGUAACUGACGCUGAGGCUCGAAAGCAUGGGUAGCGAACAGGAUUAGAUACCCUGGUAGUCCAUGCCGUAAACGAUGAAUGCUAGGUGUUGGAGGGUUUCCGCCCUUCAGUGCCGCAGCUAACGCAUUAAGCAUUCCGCCUGGGGAGUACGACCGCAAGGUUGAAACUCAAAGGAAUUGACGGA
rnacentral:rRNA from 1 species